rnacentral:rRNA from 1 species
AUGAACACUGCACCAGAACACUGGAGUAGAGCAUACUUCAAACUAGGCUCAUGGUGUGAUUCAGUUGAGAAUAAUAUGUGUGAAUCAUUCAACAAUGCAAUUAUGAGGUCACGAUUUUACCCUGUGAUCACAUCACAUGAGAUCAUUAGAAAGAAGGUGAUGGCACGGAUACAAGAAAACAGGGGCAAAUCAGCAACAUGGAGUGGAACCAUUUGCCCAAACAUUUUCAAGAAGUUGAAGUUGAACAUCAAGAGGUCAGCUAAUUGCCAGGUGCUUUGGAAUGGAAAAGAAGGUUUUGAAGUACAAGAAGGAGAACAUAGGAGGUACACAGUCAACUUGGAAAAGUGGCAGUGCUGUUGCAGAUACUGGGAACUAUCAGGUUUGCCUUGCAGCCAUGCCAUAAGUGCAAUCUACACUUGUGGCAAAAAGAUAGAUGAUUUCAUUGCACCAUGCUAUCUUAUCAGUGAGUACAACAAGAUAUAUGAUCAUGUUUUGCAACCAGUUGAGGGGAAAGAGAAUUGGCCAGUAUCAGAAAAUCCAAAGCCACAUCCACCUCCUUAG